AUGACUGAGGCUGAUGUAAAUCCGAAGGCCUAGCCCCUUGCAGAUGCCCAUCUCUCCAAGAAGCUAUUGGACCUUGUUCAGCAGUCAUGUAACUACAAGCAACUUCGGAAUGGAGCCAAUGAGGCCACCAAAACCCUCAACAGGGGCAUCUCUGAGUUCAUUGUGAUGGCUGCAGAUGCUGAGCCACUGGAGAUCAUUCUGCACCUCUCACUGCUGUGUGAAGACAAGAAUGUGCCCUACAUGGUGUUUGUGUACUCCAAGCAGGCCCUGGGGUGGGCCUGUGAGGUCUCCAGGCCUGUCAUCGUCUGUUCUGUCACCAUCAAAGAAGGUUCACAGCUGAAGCAGCAGAUCCAAUCCAUUCAGCAGUCCAUUGAAAGCCUCUUAGUCUAAACCUGUGGCUUCUGCCACACUUUCCCUACUGACUCCUCCCCCUGAGGUUGUGUAUCAUAUUGUCUGUGUUAGCAUAUAGUAUUUUCAACUACUUUCCAUUAUUAUAAAAUAUUAUUGUACUAAA